UCCAGCUCUUCUGGGCUGAAGGAGAGCUGGACAAUGGUACUGCAUAGCUGGGAGUUCUGGAAGCCUGUCUCCAGUGCAAUGGUUCGACAUCUGAGCAAGCAAAGGCAUGAGAAAUAGCCUCAGAAGGUUGUCCCACAAAGCGGGCCAUGAUAAACCCCAGGCCAAACCCAAUAAAGGGGUAGAUGGUACCAAUUAUCCAUAAGGAGGGAGCGAUGUUCCAGGAGGACUGGUAGAGGACUCCUCCAACCACAGCUAUGGCGAUAAUGAGAAGAAAGCCAACAAUGGAGCCCACCUGUGCACAGCAGAGACUUUUACUAAACACAUGCCAGGAGUUUCCUCUGGUUAAGUCACGCAAAGUGUAAAUGUCACAGCAGCUCUCUUCAUAGGAUUCUGAAAAAAAGCUUAGAGGAUUCCUACCUUGAGGAUUUUUUUUGCGUAGAUGGGCCACCUGCGCUUCACUAACAUUCCAAAACCAAUUGGGAUGAGAAGAGCCGCUAGUGUGAUACCUAGAGGUACAAAGAUUCCAUUUAAGCAUUCUAAUGACUCAUAUUAAACCAGUGCAAUGCUUUUUGGACAAAUGUACAAAAUGAUUUUACAAUAUAAUAUAACACUGGAGGAUAUAAAAAAAAAACAAUUCACUAAACGACCACAAUUUUAUAAUAGGUGUUCCCAAGAGGCACAUGCAGUGAAAGAUAUCCACCAUACAUACAAACAUGAUAAUGAAACUGCCUGAGACUGUUUGUCUGAAAUGAAUUUUCACUUCCCUUGUGAGAUCUUUACUUACCAAUACUGUCAUAAGGAAUCUGGAUGGUGUCACUGGAAGUCCAGGUAGUGGUGUAAAUGAGCAGGCACAGAGGCAUCAUCCCCAAGGCCAGGAUAGAGGAACAGGCUGUCAUACUGAUACUGAGGACCAGAGAAUGUGGACAGUGUGUCAGUCAAACAAUCCUCUCAAAUCAUUUUUUUCAAGCAUUAAAUGUCCUCUAGAACAGAAAUAGGAAAUAAAGAAGUGGUAUGUGUUAAGUCUACUGUAUCCCAUGGGAGAUUUUGUUUAUGGGUUCCUGGUUUCAAGCACUCAUGAAGACAAAAAAAAGGGGGCCCAUGCAAAUCUUGAGAAUGAUGUUCUCCCCAGUGAACUCACAUAUUUAUACUUAUAGGAAGCCAUUUAACAAAUAUUUCAUCUGAGCUGCUGAGAUGGGACACAAAUAUCUUCAUUCUGAAACAUGCAGGAGUCAAAUGUGAUUCCUAAUUAUGAAAUGCAGAAAUUAGUCUUGGUAGUGCAUAAUGUUUGAAUAUACGUAAAUUAAAACCUAGAUAUCACAUUUUGGGUCUACUUUCCACUCACACACAAUAAGAGAAAUGCCUAUUUACAGAAAAGUGUGUGUUUUUGUGUUGUACAACAGCUUGUGUUGUAAAGCUGUGCUGCAAAUUCUAUUGUUCUGGCAUCAGGACUUGUUUUCUCCUGUCAGAGUAGAUCAUCAAUAAAAGGAAAAGCAUGCAGCGUG